rnacentral:rRNA from 1 species
UACGGAGGGUGCAAGCGUUAAUCGGAAUUACUGGGCGUAAAGCGCCCGCAGGCGGUUUGUUAAGUCGGAUGUGAAAUCCCCGAGCUUAACUUGGGAACUGCAUUUGAAACUGGCAAGCUAGAGUCUUGUAGAGGGGGGUAGAAUUCCAGGUGUAGCGGUGAAAUGCGUAGAGAUCUGGAGGAAUACCGGUUGCGAAGGCGGCCCCCUGGACAAAGACUGACGCUCAGGUGCGAAAGCGUGGGGAGCAAACAGG